UGGGGAAUAUUGCACAAUGGGCGCAAGCCUGAUGCAGCCAUGCCGCGUGUGUGAAGAAGGCCUUCGGGUUGUAAAGCACUUUCAGCGGGGAGGAAGGCGGUGAGGUUAAUAACCUCAUCGAUUGACGUUACCCGCAGAAGAAGCACCGGCUAACUCCGUGCCAGCAGCCCCGGUAAUACGGAGGGUGCAAGCGUUAAUCGGAAUUACUGGGCGUAAAGCGCACGCAGGCGGUCUGUCAAGUCGGAUGUGAAAUCCCCGGGCUCAACCUGGGAACUGCAUUCGAAACUGGCAGGCUAGAGUCUUGUAGAGGGGGGUAGAAUUCCAGGUGUAGCGGUGAAAUGCGUAGAGAUCUGGAGGAAUACCGGUGGCGAAGGCGGCCCCCUGGACAAAGACUGACGCUCAGGUGCGAAAGCGUGGGGAGCAAACAGG
rnacentral:rRNA from 1 species